rnacentral:rRNA from 1 species
CCUACGGGUGGCAGCAGUGGGGAAUAUUGCACAAUGGGGGAAACCCUGAUGCAGCGACGCCGCGUGAGUGAAGAAGUAUUUCGGUAUGUAAAGCUCUAUCAGCAGGAACGAGACAAGACGGUACCUGACUAAGAAGCCCCGGCUAACUACGUGCCAGCAGCCGCGGUACUACGUAGGGGGCAAGCGUUAUCCGGAAUCACUGGGUGUAAAGGGAGCGUAGACGGCUGAGCAAGCCUGAAGUGAAAGGCGGGGGCCCAACCCCUGGACUGCUUUGGGAACUGUACGGCUGGAGUGCAGGAGAGGUAAGUGGAAUUCCUAGUGUAGCGGUGAAAUGCGUAGAUAUUAGGAGGAACACCAGUGGCGAAGGCGGCUUACUGGACUGUAACUGACGUUGAGGCUCGAAAGCGUGGGGAGCAAACAGGAUUAGAUACCCCAGUAGUC